rnacentral:rRNA from 1 species
GAGUUGAUCCUGGCUCAGAAUCAACGCUGGCGGCGCGCUUAACACAUGCAUGUCGAACGAGAAAGUCCCUUCGGGGAUAAGUAAAGUGGCGUACGGGUGAGUAACACGUGGGUCAUCUGCCCUCUGGUGGGGAAUAACUCUGGGAAACUAGAGCUAAUACCGCAUGAGCCCGCAAGGGGAAAGUCGCAAGACGCCAGGGGAUGAGCCCGCGGCCGAUUAGCUAGUUGGCAGGGUAAAGGCCUACCAAGGCGACGAUCGGUAGCCGGCCUGAGAGGGCGCACGGCCACACUGGCACUGAAACACGGGCCAGACUCCUACGGGAGGCAGCAGUGGGGAAUCUUGCACAAUGGGGGAAACCCUGAUGCAGCGACGCCGCGUGAGCGAUGAAGCCCUUCGGGGUGUAAAGCUCUUUCAGCAGGGACGAUAAUGACGGUACCUGCAGAAGCAGCUGCGGCUAACUACGUGCCAGCAGCCGCGGUAAUACGUAGGCAGCAAGCGUUGUUCGGAGUUACUGGGCGUAAAGCGUGUGUAGGCGGUUCUGUAAGUCUGGUGUGAAAUCUCCCGGCUCAACCGGGAGGGUGCGCUAGAAACUGCAGUGCUAGAGUGCGGGAGAGGAGAGCGGAAUUCCUGGUGUAGCGGUGAAAUGCGUAGAUAUCAGGAGGAACACCCGUGGUGAAGACGGCUCUCUGGACCGUGACUGACGCUGAGACACGAAAGCGUGGGGAGCAAACAGGAUUAGAUACCCUGGUAGUCCACGC